CUGCAGCCACUUAAGACAACUCUCCUCCUCCUUGUGGGGGCCGGUGUGCAAUGUCUGCACACAGCCAGCCUCCUAGGUGUUUAUGCAGCCUGUAGGUGUGUGUAGAUGGCCCCAGGGCUCUGGCCUGGCUAAU
ensembl:snoRNA SNORA70 Small nucleolar RNA SNORA70